AACAAACAACCCAGGAAAGCAAAAUGCUCUGCGUUCGUGACCUUUUAAAGUCAACUGCUUAAAAAUGUAGCUCGUGAAAACGCAAUCUCAUUAAGAUCAGAUCUUAGUUAUCGCUUUCUCUAAACAAAACUUUAUUUAGCGGCAGCGAGAACUUAGAUUUGAUUUUAAUGAGAUUGGUGAAAACGUAACUUUGAAUUUGUAGAUGUAAAGGAAACUUCGUUUUUAAUUUGUUUGUUUUUCUUUUUUUUCUUUCUUGUAUUUCUUUUGUUUUGUUUUGUUGUUUGUUUGUUUUUCUUUUUUUGGGGGGAGGGGGUCGCGUUAAUUUGUAAAUCGUGGAGUACACAAGGUAAUAAUAUACAUCGAAAUCUAUCCCCUUUACGGAUUCAGGUUACAGUACGCUGACAACAAUAUUCAACAGCAAUGUUUAUCCCGAAGGGGAUACGGGUAGGAAUAGCGAAGUUACCGAAUUUGAUUUUCCUUCAACACCUGUUUGUCUCAACCUGUUUGACUUCUGCGGUACAGUUUCCGUGUCCGUUGAUGUUCCGAGUGCGUGCAGUCAUGUGCUAAAGUUAUGAUUGACAGAUAUCACACAAUAACGGCGUUUUGUUGAAUGAGUCUCGUCGAUGUUUCAGGAUAAGCAUGUCAACUUACACUGUGUAUUUACAAUUGUUAUGUAUUGGGCUCAUUACAGACGUUUACGGAGGCAAUGUGACGGUGACCAUGACCCCACGUGCCAUUACGCUUCAAGGAGGAUCUAGCAGUAACGCCAAUGUGUGCCUGUCACAGCCCUUGUCAAAGACGGCCACCUUGCUGUUCACCUAUGACACUGGUAAAGGGGUAUUCUUCUCAGAUGACAGACAGGUUGUCGCCCCCCUCCAUAACCUAACGCUAAGGAGGGACACCCCACCGUGCAGACAAGUCCACAUCUCCGGGGUCAACCCUGGCCACGUCUUUGUCGGCGUCAACUCAACGUCACCGGAGCUGCAAGACCUGUCGUCACUCUACAUCCGGGUUGAUGUCAUGAAAAGUUCCGUGUUGAAUAUUGCCUCGGUUGUCAUUGGCUGGAUUUACUUCGUUGCCUGGACAGUGGCGGGUUAUCCCCAAGUCUACACCAAUUGGAAGAGGAAGAGUAUCGUGGGCCUCAACUUCGACUUUCUCAGCUUCAACAUCACAAGCUUCAUCGCAUACAGCCUCUACAACUGUGGGCUGUUCUGGAUACCGACAAUACAGGCCGAUUACUUUACGAUACACCCCCGGGGCAUCAACCCGGUGAGGCUGAAUGACGUCUUCUUCGCCCUGCACGCCCUAGCCUUGUCCUCGUUCAUGAUCAUCCAGUGCUUCAUAUACGACCGAGGCAGUCAGAAGAUUUCGAGGGUGUGUCACAUCAUACAAGGCCUCAUCUACCUGUUUCUGGUCAUCACGCUGUUUGUGGCGGUGGGCCACAAGAUCACCUGGCUGACCUACCUGUACUACUUCUCCUACAUCAAGCUUGGCAUCACUCUCAUCAAAUACUCGCCGCAGGCCUACAUGAUCUACAAGAACAAGACUACAGCCGGGUUCAGCAUUGUGGCUGUGGCAUGCGACUUCACUGGAGGGCUGUUCAGUGUACUGCAGAUGUUUCUUCUCUCCAUAAACAGUGAUGAUUGGGGCUCCAUCAUCGGCGAUCCCACGAAGUUUGGCCUUGGACUGUUCUCCAUGAUGUUCGACGUCGUGUUCCUCGUACAGAACUGCAUGUACAAGAAUAAGGUCGUCGUCCUGGACCAGACUCCCAUUCUCGUAAAUGACAGUGGGGAAGAGAGUUAACUUCACCUUACCCUCUAGAACUGGGGAGAUACACCUUUUACAACAUGACCAGAGUCGCGAAGCGAAGCUGUGAUCAACUGAUGGUCAAACAAUAAUAUUGUUUGUUUGAUUGUUGUUUAACGCCGAACAGGCGGCCUGUAAAUAAUCGAGACGGGACCAGACAAUCCAAUGAUCAAUAUUGCGAGCAACGACCCACGCCUUCGGGGUUGGAAGACACGCAAUCAUCUUAGUCACGGAGUCUGACCACCCGAUCUAUUUGGUCACCUUAGUCAUCGAGUCUGAGCACCCGAUCUAUUUGGUCGCCUUAGUCACUGAGUCUGACCACCCGAUCUAUUUGGCGAUUGAAACGGCGGGGGUGGACAGGUUUGAUGACUUUUUUCAUGGAGUGUGAUUUUAGGCAGGGACAUCGCUCAUAAUACCAUUGGUUUGUCUGGUCCAGAAUGACUUAUUCACAGGCCACGUCUGUAUCUGAAAAUUUAAUAUUGCUGACCAAAUAUUGGUUACAAAUGCUAUCAGUCGGUUUGGUGAUCAUUUCUAGUCAAAGUCUUCACCCUGUAACUCAAGGGCGGAUCCAGCAUUUUCAAAAGGGAGGGGUCCAAAAUAUCAAAGUCUUCUUUCAGAUAAGUUUACUGCCUACAACAUACUACCCACCCCACCCAUAGCCCUUAAUAAGUUCACCUUGCAACUGUGAAACUAAAACAUUGUCAAAUUUACACAGUGUUUCGUAUCUCAAUUCUAUUAUAUAUUCAACACAACUGACAUGGUUGAGAGAUGGGCGUGUGGUUGGGUGUAGGGAUGGGACGAGUCCAAAUUUACUACCCGGGUACCCAUCCCCCCUAUUACCCGACCCUACCCGGGUAUCUGCUGUAUGUCUAAAGAGGUAGGUACAAACUGUCCAAUUGGGAAAAGUUUGACCGUAGCUCUGGUAAAAUGUGUUCAGAUACAUUUAUGAAACGAUCUGGUGUAUACACAGAAGUUGACUAAAGUUUUAUUUUUCUUCAAACAUAUGAAAGUCAUAAGGAAUGGUUGUAGUAGUCAGGAAGAACUCCGAACAUGAGUGACUUGUAGUUUAAACAUAGAGUUUUAGAUACUUUUUGUCAUUAAUCAAUAUAUCACGUGACUAGACCCGAGGACCCGAGUACCCCGUCCCAGCCCUAGUUGGGUGAGUGAGCUCCUUGAAUGAGUGAGUGCCUAGAUAAUGAUGGUUGGUUGAUGAACGGGUGGUGUGUAGUUGAGUGAAUGGGUGGCUGAAUGAGUGAGUGGGUGGGUGGGUGGUUUGAUGAGUUAGAAGUGUGCUUGAAUGGCUUAGUGAAUUGUGGGUGAGCGGCAGGGUGAAUUGAGUGAGUGAAUGUAUAAGUGGAUGGCAGAGUUGAUAAGUGAAUAAAUAAAUACUAUAUGUUAGGCCAGACUCUGUUUUCUGGGUUACAGUCACUGGUGAAAGAUUUGGUCAGUUGGUCGGAUUUUUUAAAAAAAAUUUGGCCUGGCUUGGGUCCUCAUAAAUAUUAUACAUAUAAAAUCUGAAUUGUGAUGAAGUUUUAUCCUUGACAUAAAUUCUAUUUUAGUGGUAUAAAAUCCCUAGACUUAUUCAUAUUGUCAAAGCAAUCUUUAUGGUAGGGGUUAGUUUAUUUAUAGCAGCACUGUCACUACUGGAAGUAAUAAUACUUAUUGCCAGAAUUGCUUGUUUUCACUUUAUAGGUAUAAGCACACAAGAAGCUAUCUGCUUAAAUUAAAAUCGCAAUAUUUCUUUUUUUCCAAGUGGUGAGGAAAAUAGGGACAGGGCAUGACAUUAGGGUAUAUGGAAUACAAAGCGAGAGAUUCUCAACAGCUAAUACUCAUUAUAUCUCCAUGACAAAUUGCAAAGAGCAAUGAAGAACAAAGAAUGGUUUAUUUCACGAUAAAACAUUUUCUAGUAUGACCUCAUUUCUGAAGAUUCGGACAUGCACUCGCAACUUGAUGACAUCAUAUAUUGGACAACGUUAUGUUUGAGAGGGAAAUGUCAAGUAAGUUGUUCCCUAUAGAUGUAGCUGGACAGCCCAGGUAAAUGCAGUGGCUGAAUGACUGCAUCCAAAAGUGGGAGAGAUAUGACAAUCAACGUGAGGAUUGUGGAAAUACCAAACUUAAUCCACCUGUUCGAAAAAUGGUCUUGUCCGACAUUUCCAAGGUCGGAUUCUAUUAAGGGCGUCAUCAUUAUUAAAAUUUGGGUAAAUAUUUGUAAAGCUUGCACAUUUUAUCAACAACCUUAAAAAGGCUAUACAUAAUGUUGAUAUCUCAUAUAAGAAAUAAACUACUCGUGGUCGUUGUUGAUCAUCAAAUAAAACACUGCAGCCCUUAUGGUUUAUUCUCCCUGCAGUGUUUUAUUGUAUGAUAAACAACUCACUCAUCGUUUACUUCUUAAAUAACAGUAACCAAACCAUUCCACUUCUUCACAAACCAAACUCCCAUUUUCAGUGGUAUAUUCUUUAUUCAACAAUGACGUCAUAUACAGAUAUGAUACAAUAAAAUUAUCUAAAACAAAA
rnacentral:misc_RNA from 1 species